AUCUUGAAUGAAAAGUGCACUUUAGAAGAGUACUAUGGGAUUCUUCAGUGUACUAUGGGACUUCUCACGUUGGGACUUGUGAUGAAAACAACCAAAUUCCUGCCUCUACAGAGAGAGCUUACAUUUGGGUGAAGACCAACAUUGAUCAAUUAAGCAGCAUAGAUUUCUGGGACCAUCCCUGCAAAUAUACUGAAUCAGAGUCUCUAUUGCAAAGUUGGAAACUCCAUUUUGACAAAUAUUCCAGAUGAUCAUUAGGAUUUCUAAAAUUUGAGAACUACCAGAC